rnacentral:rRNA from 1 species
UAGGGAAUCUUCCGCAAUGGACGCAAGUCUGACGGAGCAACGCCGCGUGAGUGAAGAAGGAUUUCGGUUCGUAAAACUCUGUUGUUAGAGAAGAACAGCGCAUAGAGUAACUGUUAUGCGUGUGACGGUAUCUAACCAGAAAGCCACGGCUAACUACGUGCCAGCAGCCGCGGUAAUACGUAGGUGGCAAGCGUUGUCCGGAUUUAUUGGGCGUAAAGCGAGCGCAGGCGGUUGGAUAAGUCUGAAGUUAAAGGCAGUGGCUCAACCAUUGUAGGCUUUGGAAACUGUUUAACUUGAGUGCAGAAGGGGAGAGUGGAAUUCCAUGUGUAGCGGUGAAAUGCGUAGAUAUAUGGAGGAACACCGGUGGCGAAAGCGGCUCUCUGGUCUGUAACUGACGCUGAGGCUCGAAAGCGUGGGGAGCGAACAGG